AGCUCGACCUGGUCGACUCAACGACACUCAACGGGCAGGAGUGGGGGAACCACACGUUCUCCGCGGUCCUCGGACCGCUCGGGGUGAAGCCGCCGCACGGUGGCCGGGCACCUUCCUUCGCCCGAACCCGACAGCUCACCUCACAGGCGUGGGAAGGAACCA
rnacentral:sRNA from 2 species